rnacentral:rRNA from 1 species
UGCCCGAAAGGGUGACGAAGCGACGCCGCGUGAGCGAAGAAGGCCCUAGGGUUGUAGAGCUCUGUCGGGGGUUAUGAAAUGCAGGUUGGUUAAUACCCAACCUGUUUGACAAAGGCCCCAAAGGAAGCCACGGCUAACUCUGUGCCAGCAGCCGCGGUAAUACAGAGGUGGCAAGCGUUGUUCGGUAUUAUUGGGCGUAAAGAGCACGUAGGUGGUUUUGUAAGUCAGAUGUGAAAGCCUUCUGUUCAAAGGAAGAACGGCAUCUGAAACUGCAGAUCUUGAGUGUAGGAGGGGAGAGUGGAACUUCUGGUGGAGCGGUGAAAUGCGUAGAUAUCAGAAGGAACGUCGGCGGCGAAAGCGACUCUCUGGCCUAUUACUGACACUGAGUGUGCGAAAGUUAGGGGAGCAAACGGGAUUAGAUACCCCGGUAGUCCUAACUGUAAACGAUGGGCACUAAGUAGAGGGG